rnacentral:rRNA from 1 species
GACGAACGCUGGCGGCGUGCUUAACACAUGCAAGUCGAACGGAAAGGCCCCUUCGGGGGUACUCGAGUGGCGAACGGGUGAGUAACACGUGAGUAACCUGCCCUUGACUUCGGGAUAACUUCAGGAAACUGGGGCUAAUACCGGAUAGGAAUCCUUGCUGCAUGGUGGGGGUUGGAAAGCUUCGGCGGUUUUGGAUGGACUCGCGGCUUAUCAGCUUGUUGGUGGGGUAGUGGCUUACCAAGGCUUUGACGGGUAGCCGGCCUGAGAGGGCGACCGGCCACAUUGGGACUGAGAUACGGCCCAGACUCCUACGGGAGGCAGCAGUGGGGAAUAUUGCACAAUGGGCGGAAGCCUGAUGCAGCAACGCCGCGUGCGGGAUGACGGCCUUCGGGUUGUAAACCGCUUUCAGCAGGGGCGAAGCUUGUGGUGACGGUGCCUGCAGAAGAAGCACCGGCUAACUACGUG